rnacentral:rRNA from 1 species
UACAGAGGGGGCGAGCGUUGUUCGGAAUUACUGGGCGUAAAGGGCUCGUAGGCGGCCAACUAAGUCAUACGUGAAAUCCCUCAGCUUAACUGGGGAACUGCGUGUGAUACUGGAUGGCUUGGAUUUGGGAGAGGGAUGCGGAAUUCCAGGUGUAGCGGUGAAAUGCGUAGAUAUCUGGAGGAACACCGGUGGCGAAGGCGGCCACCUGGACGGUCACUGACGCUGAGACGCGAAAGCGUGGGUAGCAAACAGG